UACGAAGGGGGCUAGCGUUGCUCGGAAUCACUGGGCGUAAAGGGUGCGUAGGCGGGUCUUUAAGUCAGGGGUGAAAUCCUGGAGCUCAACUCCAGAACUGCCUUCGAUACUGGGAGUCUCGUGUUCGGGAGAGGUGAGUGGAAACUGCGAGUGUAGAGGUGAAAUUCGUAGAUAUUCGCAAGAACACCAGUGGCGAAGGCGGC
rnacentral:rRNA from 1 species